rnacentral:rRNA from 1 species
GCGGAAUGCUUUACACAUGCAAGUCGAACGGCAGCACGGAGAGCUUGCUCUCUGGUGGCGAGUGGCGAACGGGUGAGUAAUAUAUCGGAACGUGUCCAAUAAUGGGGGAUAACGAGUCGAAAGAUUCGCUAAUACCGCAUACGCCCUACGGGGGAAAGCAGGGGAUCGUAAGACCUUGCGUUAAUGGAGCGGCCGAUAUCUGAUUAGCUAGUUGGUGAGGUAAAGGCUCACCAAGGCGACGAUCAGUAGCUGGUUUGAGAGAACGACCAGCCACACUGGAACUGAGACACGGUCCAGACUCCUACGGGAGGCAGCAGUGGGGAAUUUUGGACAAUGGGGGCAACCCUGAUCCAGCCAUUCCGCGUGAGUGAAGAAGGCCUUCGGGUUGUAAAGCUCUUUCGCAAGGGAAGAAAACUUAUGAUCGAAUAAAUCAUGAGGUUGACGGUACCUUGAUAAGAAGCACCGGCUAACUACGUGCCAGCAGCCGCGGUAAUACGUAGGGUGCGAGCGUUAAUCGGAAUUACUGGGCGUAAAGCGUGCGCAGGCGGUUUUGUAAGUCGGAUGUGAAAUCCCCGGGCUCAACCUGGGAACUGCGUUCGAAACUGCAAGGCUAGAGUGUGUCAGAGGGGGGUAGAAUUCCACGUGUAGCAGUGAAAUGCGUAGAGAUGUGGAGGAAUACCAAUGGCGAAGGCAGCCCCCUGGGAUAACAC